GAGGAAUAUUGGUCAAUGGGCGAGAGCCUGAACCAGCCAAGUAGCGUGCAGGAUGACGGCCCUAUGGGUUGUAAACUGCUUUUAUGUGGGGAUAAAGUGAGCUACGUGUAGUUUAUUGCAGGUACCACAUGAAUAAGGACCGGCUAAUUCCGUGCCAGCAGCCGCGGUAAUACGGAAGGUCCAGGCGUUAUCCGGAUUUAUUGGGUUUAAAGGGAGCGUAGGCCGGAGAUUAAGUGUGUUGUGAAAUGUAGACGCUCAACGUCUGACUUGCAGCGCAUACUGGUUUCCUUGAGUACGCACAACGUUGGCGGAAUUCGUCGUGUAGCGGUGAAAUGCUUAGAUAUGACGAAGAACUCCGAUUGCGAAGGCAGCUGACGGGAGCGCAACUGACGCUUAAGCUCGAAGGUGCGGGUAUCGAACAGGAUUAGAUACCCUGGUAGUCCGCACAGUAAACGAUGGAUGCCCGCUGUUGGUACCUGGUAUCAGCGGCUAAGCGAAAGCAUUAAGCAUCCCACCUGGGGAGUACGCCGGCAACGGUG
rnacentral:rRNA from 1 species